GCGGGUGUGGUGUGCGGUACACGGCGGCCUUCCAUAUCCAGAACUCAUGGUAUCGAAUUUGGAGCCACAGAUCUGGGUUCGACUCCCAGCCCUUGCA